GAUGAAGAACGUAGCGAAAUGCGAUACGUAAUGUGAAUUGCAGAAUUCAGUGAAUCAUCGAGUCUUUGAACGCACAUUGCGCCCCCUGGUAUUCCGGGGGGCAUGCCUGUCCGAGCGUCAUUGCUGCCCUCAAGCCCGGCUUGUGUGUUGGGUCUCGUCCCCCUUCCCGGGGGGACGGGCCCGAAAGGCAGCGGCGGCACCGCGUCCGGUCCUCGAGCGUAUGGGGCUUUGUCACCCGCUCUGUAGGCCCGGCCGGCGCUUGCCGAUCAACCAAAACUUUUUUCCAGGUUGACCUCGGAUCAGGUAGGGAUACCCGCUGAACUUAAGCAUAUCAAUAACCGGAGGA
rnacentral:misc_RNA from 1 species